rnacentral:rRNA from 1 species
GGGUGCGAUCAUACCAGCGUUAAAGCACCGGAUCCCAUCAGGACUCCGCAGUUAAGCGCGCUUGGGCUAGAGUAGUACUGGGAUGGGUGACCUCCCGGGAAGUCCUAGUGUUGCACCCUC